rnacentral:rRNA from 1 species
UUGACGGGGCCCGCACAAGCGGUGGAGCAUGUGGUUAAUUCGAAGCAACGCGAAGAACCUUACCAGGUCUUGACAUCCCCUGACAACCCAAGAGAUUGGGCGUUCCCCUUCGGGGGACAGGGUGACAGGUGGUGCAUGGUUGUCGUCAGCUCGUGUCGUGAGAUGUUGGGUUAAGUCCCGCAACGAGCGCAACCCUCGCCUCUAGUUGCCAGCAUUCGGUUGGGCACUCUAGAGGGACUGCCGGCGACAAGUCGGAGGAAGGUGGGGAUGACGUCAAAUCGUCAUGCCCCUUAUGACCUGGGCUACACACGUGCUACAAUGGGCGGUACAAAGGGCUGCGAACCCGCGAGGGGGAGCCAAUCCCAAAAAGCCGCUCUCAGUUCGGAUUGCAGGCUGCAACUCGCCUGCAUGAAGCCGGGAUCGCUAGUAAUCGCGGAUCAGCAUGCCGCGGUGAAUACGUUCCCGGGCCUU